CUUUUUUUUGUCUUUUAUGUUCCCCUAUUCUGCUAUGUUUCCCCCUCCUAUACAUCUCGAUCUGUCCUCCUCUUUUUAUCUUUCUAACAUCCCUUCCUCUUGUUCAUUUGGGCUUCGAUCUCCUUCUUCUGAGAUUCAUUUUUUAGCCAUACUUUCCGUCGAGAUAUGUGUGGAGUUCCUGUUUUCAACCGACUCGAGUGUACCCAACAUCACCACCUUCUCUCUGUUGUCUUACCGUUUUUGGUAAUGUU
rnacentral:lncRNA from 1 species